rnacentral:rRNA from 1 species
GAGUAACACGUGGGAACGUACCUUUCGGUUCGGAAUAACUCAGGGAAACUUGAGCUAAUACCGGAUACGUGCGAGAGCAGAAAGAUUUAUCGCCGAAAGAUCGGCCCGCGUCCGAUUAGCUUGUUGGUGAGGUAAUGGCUCACCAAGGCGACGAUCGGUAGCUGGUCUGAGAGGAUGAUCAGCCACACUGGGACUGAGACACGGCCCAGACUCCUACGGGAGGCAGCAGUGGGGAAUAUUGGACAAUGGGCGAAAGCCUGAUCCAGCCAUGCCGCGUGAGUGAUGAAGGCCCUAGGGUUGUAAAGCUCUUUCGCCAGGGACGAUAAUGACGGUACCUGGAUAAGAAGCCCCGGCUAACUUCGUG